CUCCCUUGCAUUGAUCUUGUCAGGAUAUUGAAUUAAACCAAGGGCAUUUGGGAUCAGAUCCCUAACAAAUAACAAAGCUCAUUAAGACAGAUGAAGAGAAAUUCGAACAAACCUAACUGCAAUCCUAAAAUACACUUUUUACGAGAGAAACAUCACGAAUUGUCUUUAAAGGAACUAGAACACAGUCUUCAAAGAUCAGAAAACCAAAACCAAAGUAUCCAAAACUAUGUGAAGUUUUUGAAAGCCUCAUAUGUAACAAUGUUUGGCUGAAUUUCCUUGAUCGUUUUUUUUUUCUUCACAGACUAAAGCAUAUUUUGGAACAGA